GAUGAACGCUGGCGGCGUGCCUAAUACAUGCAAGUCGAGCGAACGGACGAGAAGCUUGCUUCUCUGAUGUUAGCGGCGGACGGGCGAGUAACACGUGGAUAACCUACCUAUAAGACUGGGAUAACUUCGGGAAACCGGAGCUAAUACCGGAUAAUAUUUUGAACCGCAUGGUUCAAAAGUGAAAGACGGUCUUGCUGUCACUUAUAGAUGGAUCCGCGCUGCAUUAGCUAGUUGGUAAGGUAACGGCUUACCAAGGCAACGAUGCAUAGCCGACCUGAGAGGGUGAUCGGCCACACGGGAACUGAGACACGGUCCAGACUCCUACGGGAGGCAGCAGUAGGGAAUCUUCCGCAAUGGGCGAAAGCCUGACGGAGCAACGCCGCGUGAGUGAUGAAGGUAUUCGGAUCGUAAAACUCUGUUAUUAGGGAAGAACAUAUGUGUAAGUAACUGUGCACAUCUUGACGGUACCUAAUCAGAAAGCCACGGCUAACUACGUG
rnacentral:rRNA from 1 species